GCUACCCGUGCGCCUUCCCACCCCACGUCCCGGCAGUGCCCCGGGGGGGGGGGGUGUUGCCAUGGCGACGUCCCCUGGCAUUGCCCACCCUGUCUAUCCCCUGAGCUGCGUCGCAGAGACGCUAAGGCGCCCGCACGCCGUUCAGGAUGGGCCCAUGGGGGUAAGUUUGCUGUGGCAGAAGCCCAAUGAUACCAACUUAAAGUGUUCAAAAACCAAGGGUUAGCCUCCCUCCUCCUGAAAAAAACAUGAGAUUUGCUUCAAUAAUACACUUUGGGUUCUUUUCCUUUGCCUUCCAGUUGCUGAGCCUCUUGUAGAAGGUGAUAGAUUGCAUCCGAUGAAGUGAGCUGUAGCUCACGAAAGCUUAUGCUCAGAUAAAUUUGUUAGUGUCUAAGGUG